GUAGGUGGCAAGCGUUGUCCGGAAUUAUUGGGCGUAAAGCGCGCGCAGGCGGUCCUUUAAGUCUGAUGUGAAAGCCCACGGCUCAACCGUGGAGGGUCAUUGGAAACUGGGGGACUUGAGUACAGAAGAGGAAAGCGGAAUUCCAAGUGUAGCGGUGAAAUGCGUAGAGAUUUGGAGGAACACCAGUGGCGAAGGCGGCUUUCUGGUCUGUAACUGACGCUGAGGCGCGAAAGCGUGGGGAGCAAACAGGAUUAGAUACCCUGUAGUCCACGCCGUAAACGAUGAGUGCUAAGUGUUAGGGGGUUUCCCGCCCCCUUAGUGCUGCAGCUAACGCAUUAAGCACUCCGCCUGGGGAGUACGGCCGCAAGGCUG
rnacentral:rRNA from 1 species